GUUCAGUGUGCUCCAGCCCCAGUCUUGGAGUGUCCUAGCUGAGAUCCCAGACAUUGCAAAGCAGAAGAGAAAAAGCCUCCUACUUUACCCUGUCUGAAUUUGUGAACCCACAGAAUUUGUGAGUAGAGUGAUGCUGUAACUGCUGAUCUGUGAGCCAUACUUUGAGCCAGCAAGGCUCUAGAGCACUACUGAGAGACGGAGUCAUUACCUGGACCAAAGAGGAAGGAACGGACACUAAAUGAACAGCUGUCCACAUUGCAGCCUCGUGGGAUCACUGCCCUGGCUCUCCACAGCAGGCAGAGGCAGCUGGUCUCCUUCCCUUUCCAUGAUGGAGGCCCAGAGGUCAAGCCUCCAAGAACCCCUUGUCUCUGAGCAGACUGUAGGGUAAUCUUGGGUAUCUGGGAUAUCAAGGAAAAAGAAAUGCUUCCAGGCGUUCUGGGGACAUAAAAUCACUAUGUACACAGGAGAAGGAGGUGAAAAGGACGGAAAAGUUCUUCGGGGAAGGAAGGUGAAAAACAAGAAGUAUUAAAUUAAUGCCACCA